ACCGUAAAAGUAAAGAAAUUUUAUUUUUAANUUUGGGAAUNNNUUUAGGNNNUGGAAAAAUAAACUUCUUUUAAAAGGUAAAAUUUUAAAGGGGNUAAUUUUUUCUNNUUNUUAGAAAUUUUAAAAACUUAGAAGUGAAACUAGGAUUAGAUACCCUAUUAUUAUUAAGCAAAAAGAAAUNUAGGUAGUAAUAGAAGACUUGAAACUUAAAGAAUUUGGCGGUGUUUUAAUCUAACCAGAGGAACUUGCAUUUUAACUCGAAAUUACACGUUUUAUCUCACUUAAAUUUAUGUUUGUAUAUCGUCGUAAAAAUAAAACUUUAAAGUGUAUAUUUAAAUUUAUUAAANUUAAAAAUUACAGAUCAAGGUUCAGCGNUUAUUUAAGNGAAAUGUGAGUUACAAUACUUNUUAAAGUAAAUGGACAUUUUUCUNNGAAAAGNGGAUUUUGAAGGUGGAUUUGGAAGU
rnacentral:rRNA from 1 species